rnacentral:rRNA from 1 species
UUUCCUCUUGGUAAAUGAGGUAAGGCCUGCUCACUGAAUAUUAAAGAGCCGCAGUAUCCUAACUGUGCUAAGGUAGCAUAAUCAUUAGUCUUUUAAUUGGAGACUGGUAUGAAUGGCUAAACGAGAAAUUGACUUUUUUUGUUAUAAAAAUUGAAUUUAAUUUUUUAGUGAAAAAGCUAAAAUUUUUCAGAAAGACGAGAAGACCCUAUAGAGUUUUAUAUCUUUUAGUACUUUAUCUGAUUUGAUUUUUACAGAUAGAGUGUAGAAUAGGUAUUUUGUUGGGGCGACAUUAAGAUAUAAAAAACUCUUUUUUUUAGAAAUUUUUAUGAAAGUAUUCUUGAUCCUCUAAAAGAGAUCAAAAGAAAAAAUUACCUUAGGGAUAACAGCGUAAUCUUUUUUGAGAGUUCUAAUCGACAAAAAGGUUUGCGACCUCGAUGUUGGACUAAAAUUUAGGCAGGGUGCAGCAGUUCUGCUUUAAGGUCUGUUCGACCUAUAAUAUUUUACAUGAUCU